AUUGAACGCUGGCGGCAGGCCUAACACAUGCAAGUCGAGCGGAGCGGCGGACGGGUGAGUAAUGCCUAGGAAUCUGCCUGGUAGUGGGGGAUAACGUCCGGAAACGGGCGCUAAUACCGCAUACUAUCAGAUGAGCCUAGGUCGGAUUAGCUAGUUGGUGGGGUAAUGGCCUACAAAGGCGACGAUCCGUACCUGGUCUGAGAGUAGGAUCAGUCAGCCUGGAACUAAGACACGGUCCAGACUCCGACGGAGGGAAGCGGUGGGGAAGAGUGGGCAAUGGGCGAAAGCCUGACCGAGCCAGGCGACUGGUGUGAAGAAGGUCUUCGGAUUGUCAAGCCCUUUCAGUUGGAAGGCGGUACCAACAGAGAAAGCACCGGCUAACUUCGUGCCAGCAGACGCGGUAAUUC
rnacentral:rRNA from 1 species